AGUCGAGCGGUAGCACAGAGAGCUUGCUCUCGGGUGACGAGCGGCGGACGGGUGAGUAAUGUCUGGGAAACUGCCUGAUGGAGGGGGAUAACUACUGGAAACGGUAGCUAAUACCGCAUAAUGUCGCAAGACCAAAGUGGGGGACCUUCGGGCCUCAUGCCAUCAGAUGUGCCCAGAUGGGAUUAGCUAGUAGGUGGGGUAACGGCUCACCUAGGCGACGAUCCCUAGCUGGUCUGAGAGGAUGACCAGCCACACUGGAACUGAGACACGGUCCAGACUCCUACGGGAGGCAGCAGUGGGGAAUAUUGCACAAUGGGCGCAAGCCUGAUGCAGCCAUGCCGCGUGUGUGAAGAAGGCCUUCGGGUUGUAAAGCACUUUCAGCGGGGAGGAAGGCGAUAAGGUUAAUAACCUUGUCGAUUGACGUUACCCGCAGAAGAAGCACCGGCUAACU
rnacentral:rRNA from 1 species